UACGUAGGGUCCGAGCGUUGUCCGGAAUUACUGGGCGUAAAGAGCUCGUAGGUGGUUUGUCGCGUCGGCCGUGAAAACCUGCAGCUUAACUGUGGGCGUGCGGGCGAUACGGGCAGACUGGAGUACUGCAGGGGAGACUGGAAUUCCUGGUGUAGCGGUGGAAUGCGCAGAUAUCAGGAGGAACACCGGUGGCGAAGGCGCCACUCUGGGCCGGUACUGACGCUGAGGAGCGAAAGCGUGGGGAGCGAACAGG
rnacentral:rRNA from 1 species